CCUACGGGCGGCAGCAGUGAGGAAUAUUGGUCAAUGGGCGCGAGCCUGAACCAGCCAAGUCGCGUGAGGGAUGACGGUCCUACGGAUUGUAAACCUCUUUUGCCGGGGAGCAAGCGUGCGUUCGUGAACGCGCGUCGAGAGUACCCGGAGAAAAAGCAUCGGCUAAAUCCGUGCCAGAAGCCGCGGUAAUACGGGGGAUGCGAGCUUUAUCCGGAUUUAUUGGGUUUAAAGGGUACUUAGGCGGGAUGCCAAGUCAGCGGUAAAAAUGCGGUGCUCAACGCCGGCGCGCCGUUGAAACUGGCAGUCUUGAGUAAGCGAGAAGUAUGCGGAAUUCGUGGUGUAGCGGUGAAAUGCAUAGAUAGCGCGCAGAACUCCGAUUGCGAAGGCAGCAUACCGGCGCCCUACUGACGCUGAGGCACGAAAGCGUGGGUAUCGAACAGGAUUAGAUACCCCAGUAGUC
rnacentral:rRNA from 1 species